rnacentral:rRNA from 1 species
UGGGGAAUAUUGCACAAUGGGCGCAAGCCUGAUGCAGCCAUGCCGCGUGUGUGAAGAAGGCCUUCGGGUUGUAAAGUACUUUCAGCGGGGAGGAAGGGAGUAAAGUUAAUACCUUUGCUCAUUGACGUUACCCGCAGAAGAAGCACCGGCUAACUCCGUGCCAGCAGCCGCGGUAAUACGGAGGGUGCAAGCGUUAAUCGGAAUUACUGGGCGUAAAGCGCACGCAGGCGGUUUGUUAAGUCAGAUGUGAAAUCCCCGGGCUCAACCUGGGAACUGCAUCGGAUACUCGCAAGCUUGAGUCUCGGAGAGGGGGGUAGAAUUCCAGGAGUAGCAGUGAAAUGCGUAGAGAUCUGGAGAAAUACCGGUGGCGAAGGCGGCCCCCUGGACGAAGACUGACGCUCAGGUGCGAAAGCGUGGGGAGCAAACAGG